rnacentral:rRNA from 1 species
UAAUUGAAGAGUUUGAUCAUGGCUCAGAUUGAACGCUGGCGGCAGGCCUAACACAUGCAAGUCGGGCGGUAACAGGGAGAAGCUUGCUUCUCUGCUGACGAGCGGCGGACGGGUGAGUAAUGUAUGGGGAUCUGCCUGAUGGAGGGGGAUAACUACUGGAAACGGUAGCUAAUACCGCAUAAUGUCUCCGGACCAAAGCGGGGGACCUUC